rnacentral:pre_miRNA from 1 species
UUUGAUCAUCAGUAAGUGAGAUUGUUUCUGAUACGAUUUCGUUUUCUGGCAAUCAAAGG